UACGGGGGGUGCAAACGUUGCUCGGAAUCAUUGGGCGUAAAGCGCACGUAGGCGGUCUCUUAAGUCGGGUGUGAAAGCCUCGGGCUCAACCCGGGAAGUGCAUUCGAAACUGAAAGGCUUGAGUAUGGAAGAGGGUCUCGGAAUUCCCGGUGUAGAGGUGAAAUUCGUAGAUAUCGGGAGGAACACCAGUGGCGAAGGCGGAGACCUGGGCCAAUACUGACGCUGAGGUGCGAAAGCGUGGGGAGCAAACAGG
rnacentral:rRNA from 1 species